rnacentral:rRNA from 1 species
UACGUAGGGUGCGAGCGUUAAUCGGAAUUACUGGGCGUAAAGCGUGCGCAGGCGGUUUUGUAAGCCAGAUGUGAAAUCCCCGGGCUCAACCUGGGAAUGGCAUUUGGGACUGCAAGGCUGGAGUGCGGCAGAGGAGACUGGAAUUCCUGGUGUAGCAGUGAAAUGCGUAGAUAUCAGGAGGAACACCGAUGGCGAAGGCAGGUCUCUGGGCUGACACUGACGCUCAUGCACGAAAGCGUGGGGAGCAAACAGG